GCAUGUUUUUAUGUUGUGUAGAAGUUUUAAGCUGAUUCCGAUCAAGUUUGGAUUUUAAAUUUUAAAGUUGCUUUAUAUAUAAGUCUUAAUCAGCUCACUUGGCAUGCUUUGUAGGAAACCCAGCUGCUGUUUUUCACUAAUGAAUUUGACUCCCUUAUCCUAUGCAACUGCUUCUGAUCCCAAAUUUUUAUCCUAUAAAAUGUUUUAGUACUAGUUCAUAUAAAAAAACAUACAUUUACAUAAAUGUUUUAAUUAUUUAGGAAAUAAUGUGUAUGAGCUAUUUACAUGCAUGUAUGUUUUAACGUUUGUCUCAAGACCAUUCACAUUUAUUUACCACCAUGAAUCUUGUUUAAAUAUGCUUCAGGCUCUAUUUCAUGAAACAAGUUGUGUGUCUAAUUGUCUGUAUACCGUGUAGAAUUCUAUAUAGUUUUAACAAAUUAAUUUUAUGUACUAAAUAAAAGAAUAAUUAUAAUUAAUUUUUUGAUCAUUUAUAGCAAUGGAAUGAAAAAUACUUAUGAUAAACCCUAAUUGCCAUGUUAAAUUAUGCAACACAUUUCAUUUUUAUGAUACCUGGACUAUUAGCCCUUGAUUUAAAUCUAUAUUCCUAUGUAUACAUUUAUAACUUUCUCUCAGUUUUCUUUGUAUAUAGGUACACUGCAUUAUAACUGAUGGAAUUGUGUACAGCUAAUGUACAUGUGUAACAUUUCAUUAUAAAUUUGGUUUACUUCUUAGAGCCAAUUCAGAGUACACAUUAAAAGUGCCAUCCAAGUUUGACACUGUGAGUAGUACAAAUGUUCUGCCUACGAUCAGACUUCCGAUGUCCAAGUGAACAUUUCUUAUCUUAUGUAGAGGCAAUUAAAUAUAAUUAAUGCCACAAGCAAAACAAGUAGGAGUGUGCUGAUGAUGAAGAAAAAAGGAAGAAAGUGGGAGAAACGCUUUAUGAAUAAAGAAUGAAGUAAUGAUCAGCUAUCAAAUACCAUGGUGACACCACUUAAAGUGAACUAAUCAAUAUUAUUUCAUCUGCCUCAUUAUUUCAACGGUCUAGUCAGGCCUAGGCCAACUCUAUAUGUUCAUAGUCAGGCUACUACUCUGCAUACUACUCUACUGAUCAGAAACUUGAUUAAUGAACUCUCUACCAAACUCUCCCAGAGUUUUAACAGUGAACUGAUUUCGUAUUGAACAAGCUUAGUACUUACUUUUUUUAUUUUUGGUUUUAUAAAUAGUUUACAUGUUUACUAUAACUGAUACAGAUAUGUCCUUAUAAUGUGAAUUAUUCUUUCAUUUAUAGUGAUCACUUGUAAUGCA